rnacentral:rRNA from 4 species
UGUGGUUACAAUAGCAGAGAGGAUACACCUGUUCCCAUUCCGAACACAGAAGUUAAGCUCUCUAGCGCUGAUGGUACUUGGUGGGAAACU